UACGUAGGUGGCAAGCGUUGUCCGGAAUUAUUGGGCGUAAAGAGCUCGUAGGCGGUCUGUUACGUCUGCUGUGAAAACCCAGGGCUUAACCCUGGGCUUGCAGUGGAUACGGGCAGACUAGAGGCAGGUAGGGGAGAAUGGAAUUCCCGGUGUAGCGGUGAAAUGCGCAGAUAUCGGGAGGAACACCGGUGGCGAAGGCGGUUCUCUGGGCCUGACCUGACGCUGAGGAGCGAAAGCGUGGGGAGCGAACAGG
rnacentral:rRNA from 1 species